GGACAGCGUAGAGCAGAUUCAUGGCUUAGAAAUCAGGAUGAGGAAAACUGUGUCUGGGCAAAGCAGUGUAUUUCUGAAGUGCAGUGGCUCCAGUCCUGGCACACAGUCUCUACUGUCACGCAUAGAGCUCACACUGUCGGAAAACAUGGGAAAAGCUAACAGCGACUGGGAAACUUUCCUACAAGCAUAUAACAAAUGCAAAGGGAUCUCAGCAAGUAGUCCUGCAUUAAAUGAGAGUGUGGGCGCUCUGCUGGCAUCGCUGGAC